rnacentral:lncRNA from 1 species
UCUGAACAUUUGAUGAAAUUUGAUGAUGACAUUCUUCACAUUUAUAAGUUAGCUCUCCAAUAAAAAUUCUCUGAUGUUCCACAGUUUUGACGCUGGGGCAAAAGCCUUAGCAUACACAUUAUUUUUGUGUGGUUUCUCUGACAGAUGUAGACUCUGACGUCAUUGUGAGGCCCAGAUAAGAGCUCCACCACACUUACAUGGUUGCCCUUCAACAUGGACUCUGUUGUUGCAAAGUAUCUGGAACUCAAGGUUUCUCUCCAGAAUGAAUCCUGAUGUCAGACCACUGUCGAAAGGUCUUGCCACAUUCAGCACAUGCAUAUGGUUUCUCUCCAGUAUGAUUUCUUCCAUGAUGCCUAAGGUGUGAACGCCUGGUAAAGGUCAUGCCACAUUCACUACAUCGGUGAGGUUUCUCUCCAGUAUGGAUUACCUGACGGUAAGUUGGGCUUGACUGCACACCAAAGGCUUUACCACAUUCACUACAUUUAUAUGGUUUCUCCCCAGUAUGGAUUCUCCAAUGUCUUGCUAGGUGUGAAUUUUGACUGAAGACCUUCCCAUAUAUAUCACAUUUAUAUGGUUUCUCUGCUGUAUGGAUUAUCUGAUGUCUAGUGAGGUGUGAGCCCUGAGUAAGGACUUUGCCACACUCGUGGCAUUUGAAAGGUUUAUCUCCAGCAUGAAAUUCUUUGGCAGAUCGUGAUGUUAGACCAUUGUCUGAAGGCCUUGCCACAUUCAGUACAUUUGUAUGGUUUCUUUCCAGUAUGACUUCUCUCAUGAUGCCUAAGGUGUGAAGCCUUGAUAAAAGCCUUGCCACAUUCAUUACAUUUAUGAGGUUUCUCUCCAGUGUGGAUCAUCUGAUGGCUUAUCAGGCUUGAACGCACAACGAAAGCUUUGCUGCACACAUUACAUUGUAUGGCAAUGACUCAGUAUGACUUUUCUGAUAGUCAACCAGGCUUGAAUUCUGAGU